GAUGGGGACCGCUUGGACCACCCCAACCAGAGUGAGCUGCUCUGCUGCACAGCAGCUGAGUUGUGGCUCAGCUGCACAGCAAUGUGGCUUCUAGCAUAAGACCAUAAAUGCAUAUGAUUGUCUGCCCAGGGAAGUAAUUUGCUGCGUCAGAUUGUGGGAUGCUGAGAGAGAGGCGCUAAGCUUUAAACAGUUUUAGAAGCAGAUCUUCUGCUGGCAUAAAUCAGCCUUGUUCCAGCGCAAUGAUAACACUCAGAGCUGAGCUGUGCACGAUGCAACCGCAGAGCAGCGCUGCUCCCCACCUGCACCAGCGAGCAGCACCGCGAUGAUUGACUGCACGCAGCAACACAGACUAAAGGACAGGUGCUUAAAGAAAAGACUUUCAAAUGAGAGCACAGCCACCAAGUGAAUUCCCAAUGCACACAUAAAUAAAGCCAUAUUCCCCCCUCACACACACACACACAUACCCCAUACCAUGCAUUUUAAAUCUUCUUUAGCAAAGAAUGGAAACAAUGAACCUUCAAUCUUGGCUACCAGCACCAGUGGAAAGAGUAGGUAACUUGGGAAAGUAUGCUGCAUGGAAACGAGCCCCCAGCCCAUUGCUUUUAAUCACUGCUGCCUGCAUUAGCUCUGUGUGCUGCAGCUUCUCUCUC